rnacentral:rRNA from 1 species
CCUACGGGAGGCAGCAGUGGGGGAUAUUGCACAAUGGGGGAAACCCUGAUGCAGCGACGCCGCGUGAGUGAAGAAGUAUUUCGGUAUGUAAAGCUCUAUCAGCAGGGAAGAAAAUGACAGUACCUGACCAAGAAGCCCCGGCUAACUACGAGCCAGCAGCCGCGGACAGACGUAGGGGGGAAGCGGUAUCCGGGUUUACUGGAUGUAAAGGGAGCGUAGACGGUUAUGUAAGUCUGGAGUGAAAGGCCGGGGCCCAACCCCGGGACUGCUCUGGAAACUAUUGAACUUGAGUGCAGGAGAGGGAAGCGGAAUUCCUAGUGUAGCGGUGAAAUGCGUAGAUAUUAGGAGGAACACCAGUGGCGAAGGCGGCUUACUGGACUGUAACUGACGUUGAGGCUCGAAAGCGUGGGGAGCAAACAGGAUUAGAUACCCUUGUAGUC